AGAGUUUGAUCCUGGCUCAGGAUGAACGCUAGCGGCAGGCUUAACACAUGCAAGUCGAGGGGCAGCGGGGAGGAAGCUUGCUUUCUCCGCCGGCGACCGGCGCACGGGUGAGUAACACGUAUGCAACCUGCCCCUGUCAGGGGGACAACCCGCCGAAAGGCGGGCUAAACCCGCGUACAUGCCACCGGGGCAUCCCGGAGGCAGGAAAGGCUUCGGCCGGACAGGGAUGGGCAUGCGGCGCAUUAGGCAGUAGGCGGGGUAACGGCCCACCUAACCGACGAUGCGUAGGGGUUCUGAGAGGAAGGUCCCCCACACUGGUACUGAGACACGGACCAGACUCCUACGGGAGGCAGCAGUGAGGAAUAUUGGUCAAUGGUCGGGAGACUGAACCAGCCAAGCCGCGUGAGGGAGGAAGGUACAGAGUAUCGUAAACCUCUUUUGUCAGGGAACAAAGGCGGGGACGUGUCCCCGGAUGAGUGUACCUGAAGAAAAAGCAUCGGCUAACUCCGUGCCAGCAGCCGCGGUAAUACGGAGGAUGCGAGCGUUAUCCGGAUUUAUUGGGUUUAAAGGGUGCGCAGGCGGUCUGUUAAGUCAGCGGUCAAAGCCCGGGGCUCAACCCCGGCCCGCCGUUGAAACUGGCAGUCUCGAGUUGGAGAGAAGUAUGCGGAAUGCGCGGUGUAGCGGUGAAAUGCAUAGAUAUCGCGCAGAACUCCGAUUGCGAAGGCAGCAUGCCGGCUCCACACUGACGCUGAGGCACGAAAGCGUGGGUAUCGAACAGGAUUAGAUACCCUGGUAGUCCACGCAGUAAACGAUGAAUGCUGGCUGUCCGGGGGGAUUGACCCCUGGGUGGCGAAGCGAAAGCGAUAAGCAUUCCACCUGGGGAGUACGCCGGCAACGGUGAAACUCAAAGGAAUUGACGGGGGCCCGCACAAGCGGAGGAACAUGUGGUUUAAUUCGAUGAUACGCGAGGAACCUUACCCGGGCUCAAACGGGGAGUGACUCAGGCAGAGACGCCUGUUUCCCACGGGACACUCCCCGAGGUGCUGCAUGGUUGUUGUCAGCUCGUGCCGUGAGGUGUCGGCUUAAGUGCCAUAACGAGCGCAACCCCCGCGUGCAGUUGCUAACAGAUAACGCUGAGGACUCUGCACGGACUGCCGGCGCAAGCCGCGAGGAAGGCGGGGAUGACGUCAAAUCAGCACGGCCCUUACGUCCGGGGCGACACACGUGUUACAAUGGGUGGUACAGCGGGAAGCCAGGCGGCGACGCCGAGCGGAACCCGAAAUCCACUCUCAGUUCGGAUCGGAGUCUGCAACCCGACUCCGAGAAGCUGGAUUCGCUAGUAAUCGCGCAUCAGCCAUGGCGCGGUGAAUACGUUCCCGGGCCUUGCACUCACCGCCCGUCAAG
rnacentral:rRNA from 1 species